rnacentral:rRNA from 1 species
AGUGUAGGCGGUUUGGAUAGUCGGAUGUGAAAGCCCCGGGCUCAACCCGGGAAGUGCAUUCGAUACUCCCAAGCUAGAGUAUCGGAGAGGUUGGUGGAAUUCUCGGUGUAGAGGUGAAAUUCGUAGAUAUCGAGAGGAACACCGGUGGCGAGGGCGGCCAACUGGACGAAUACUGACGCUGAGACUCGAAAGCGUGGGGAGCAAACA